CGCUGGCGGCAGGCCUAACACAUGCAAGUCGUGCGGGUACACCGAUAGCUUGCUCUCGGGUGACGAGCGGCGGACGGGUGAGUAAUGUCUGGGAAACUGCCUGAUGGAGGGGGAUAACUACUGGAAACGGUAGCUAAUACCGCAUAAUGUCGCAAGACCAAAGUGGGGGACCUUCGGGCCUCAUGCCUUCAGAUGUGCCCAGAUGGGAUUAGCUAGUAGGUGGGGUAACGGCUCACCUAGGCGACGAUCCCUAGCUGGUCUGAGAGGAUGACCAGCCACACUGGAACUGAGACACGGUCCAGACUCCUACGGGAGGCAGCAGUGGGGAAUAUUGCACAAUGGGCGCAAGCCUGAUGCAGCCAUGCCGCGUGUGUGAAGAAGGCCUUCGGGUUGUAAAGCACUUUCAGCGGGGAGGAAGGCGAUAAGGUUAAUAACCUUGUCGAUUGACGUUACCCGCAGAAGAAGCACCGGCUAACUCCGUGCCAGCAGCCGCGGUAAUACGGAGGGUGCAAGCGUUAAUCGGAAUUACUGGGCGUAAAGCGCACGCAGGCGGUCUGUCAAGUCGGAUGUGAAAUCCCCGGGCUCAACCUGGGAACUGCAUUCGAAACUGGCAUGGCUAGAGUCUUGUAGAGGGGGGUAGAAUUCCAGGUGUAGCGGUGAAAUGCGUAGAGAUCUGGAGGAAUACCGGUGGCGAAGGC
rnacentral:rRNA from 1 species